rnacentral:rRNA from 3 species
GGGACCUCAGGUCAGGCGGGGCUACCCGCUGAGUUUAAGCA